rnacentral:rRNA from 1 species
GACGAACGCUGGCGGCGUGCCUAAUACAUGCAAGUCGAACGCAGUGGGGACGGGUGAGUAACACGUGGGUAACCUCCCAUCAGAGGGGAUAACACUUGGAAACAGGUGCUAAACCGAUACUGAUGGAUGGACCCGCGGUGCAUUAGCUAGUUGGUGAGGUAACGGCUCACCAAGGCCACGAUGCAUAGCCUACCUGAGAGGGUGAUCGGCCACACUGGGACGGAGACAAUGCCCAGACUCCUACGUGAGGCAGCGUGAGGGAUUCUUCGGGAAUGGACGAAAGUCUGUCCGAGGAACGCCGCGUGAGUGAAGAAGGUUGACGGAGCGUAAGACUCGGUGGUUAGAGAAGCGGUAUCUAACCAGAAAGCCACGGCUAACUACGUGCCAGCAGCCGCGGUAAUAC